rnacentral:rRNA from 1 species
CCUACGGGUGCCUAUACAUGCAAGUCGAACGAGUUCUGAUUAUUGAAAGAUGCUUGCAUCUUGAUUUAAUUUUGAACGAGUGGCGGACGGGUGAGUAACACGUGGGUAACCUGCCCUUAAGUGGGGGAUAACAUUUGGAAACAGAUGCUAAUACCGCAUAAAUCCAAGAACCGCAUGGUUCUUGGCUGAAAGAUGGCGUAAGCUAUCGCUUUUGGAUGGACCCGCGGCGUAUUAGCUAGUUGGUGAGGUAACGGCUCACCAAGGCAAUGAUACGUAGCCGAACUGAGAGGUUGAUCGGCCACAUUGGGACUGAGACACGGCCCAAACUCCUACGGGAGGCAGCAGUAGGGAAUCUUCCACAAUGGACGCAAGUCUGAUGGAGCAACGCCGCGUGAGUGAAGAAGGCUUUCGGGUCGUAAAACUCUGUUGUUGGAGAAGAAUGGUCGGCAGAGUAACUGUUGUCGGCGUGACGGUAUCCAACCAGAAAGCCACGGCUAACUACGUGCCAGCAGCCGCGGUAAUACGUAGGUGGCAAGCGUUAUCCGGAUUUAUUGGGCGUAAAGCGAGCGCAGGCGGUUUUUUAAGUCUGAUGUGAAAGCCCUCGGCUUAACCGAGGAAGUGCAUCGGAAACUGGGAAACUUGAGUGCAGAAGAGGACAGUGGAACUCCAUGUGUAGCGGUGAAAUGCGUAGAUAUAUGGAAGAACACCAGUGGCGAAGGCGGCUGUCUGGUCUGUAACUGACGCUGAGGCUCGAAAGCAUGGGUAGCGAACAGGAUUAGAUACCCUGGUAGUCCAUGCCGUAAACGAUGAAUGCUAGGUGUUGGAGGGUUUCCGCCCUUCAGUGCCGCAGCUAACGCAUUAAGCAUUCCGCCUGGGGAGUACGACCGCAAGGUUGAAACUCAAAGGAAUUGACGGGGGCCCGCACAAGCGGUGGAGCAUGUGGUUUAAUUCGAAGCAACGCGAAGAACCUUACCAGGUCUUGACAUCUUUUGAUCACCUGAGAGAUCAGGUUUCCCCUUCGGGGGCAAAAUGACAGGUGGUGCAUGGUUGUCGUCAGCUCGUGUCGUGAGAUGUUGGGUUAAGUCCCGCAACGAGCGCAACCCUUAUGACUAGUUGCCAGCAUUUAGUUGGGCACUCUAGUAAGACUGCCGGUGACAAACCGGAGGAAGGUGGGGAUGACGUCAAAUCAUCAUGCCCCUUAUGACCUGGGCUACACACGUGCUACAAUGGAUGGUACAACGAGUUGCGAGACCGCGAGGUCAAGCUAAUCUCUUAAAGCCAUUCUCAGUUCGGACUGUAGGCUGCAACUCGCCUACACGAAGUCGGAAUCGCUAGUAAUCGCGGAUCAGCACGCCGCGGUGAAUACGUUCCCGGGCCUUGUACACACCGCCCGUCACACCAUGAGAGUUUGUAACACCCGAAGCCGGUGGCGUAACCCUUUUAGGGAGCGAGCCGUCUAAGGUGAACCAAAAU